rfam:Glycine soja cultivar W05 scaffold1785_9, whole genome shotgun sequence.
AUGUUAACAUAUCACACGUUAACAUCGGUUUUCCAAAAAACCGAUGUUAACGUGUAUGCAUUAACAU